AAGAAGGACCUGCUCCAGGCUGCUACAGUCCACAAUCCAGACCUGCAAAAGGGAUCACUUCCUGCUUCAAAUCAGCAGUGCCGCGGCUCCAGUAUGUGCAGUCAAAAACCCCCGGACCUGGAGCCUAUGAUCCUUACUGGAAGCUGGGUGACCACCGGAACACCGUCGCCAACACGUCAUUUAGCCUGUUGUUCCGCAACAUUCCAUAGUGUGGAAUGUAUUAAUUCCACAACCAUCUCAUGUUUUCAACUUGCACUCUGAUCACAUAUGAUCAGACCAUAUUCUAUAUUAUAAUGCAUGCAUGAGUAUGGCUUAGAUCACGCUAAAACCAGGGAGAGCUAACAUUUUCUGUUUGGCAUGCUCAUGUAUUCUGGGUCAACGAUGAACGCUGCAAAAACAUAAAGUUGAUAGGAC